CGCGGGGUGGAGCAGUGGUAGCUCGUUGGGCUCAUAACCCAAAGGUCGUUGGUUCGAAUCCAACCCCCGCUACCA
rnacentral:tRNA from 1 species